GACUGCGUAGCUCAGCUGGCAGAGCAUUGGGCUAGUAUUCCAAAGGUCGUAGGUUCGAUUCCCACCGUGGCCA
rnacentral:tRNA from 1 species